UGCUACAGUCAUAUCACCCUGCAGCCCAAGACUGGCAACUCACUGAAGCUAAGUAGGGCUGAACCUGGUCAGUACCUGGGUGGAAGACCACAAAGGAAAAUAGGUUGCUGUUGGAA
ensembl:rRNA 5S_rRNA 5S ribosomal RNA